GCGGGCAGUUAACGAGGUGGAGGCAGGAAGCAGUGGUUAUCGAGGUGGAGGCAGGAAGCAGUGGUUAACGAGGUUGAGGCAGGUAGUGGGCGUUAACGAGGUGGAGGCAGGUAGUGGGCGUUAACGAGGUGGAGGCAGGUAGUGGGCGUUAACGAGGUGGAGGCAGGUAGUGGGCGUUAACGAGGUGGAGGCAGGUAGUGGGCGUUAACGAGGUGGAGACAGGAAGUGGGCGUUAACGAGGUGGAGGCAGGUAGUGGGCGUUAACGAGGUGGAGGCAGGUAGUGGGCGUUAACGAGGUGGAGGCAGGUAGUGGGCGUUAACGAGGUGGAGGCAGGUAGUGGGCGUUAACGAGGUGGAGGCAGGUAGUGGGCGUUAACGAGGUGGAGGCAGGUAGUGGGCGUUAACGAGGUGGAGGCAGGUAGUGGGCGUUAACGAGGUGGAGGCAGGUAGUGGGCGUUAACGAGGUGGAGACAGGAAGUGGGCGUUAACGAGGUGGAGGCAGGUAGUGGGCGUUAACGAGGUGGAGGCAGGUAGUGGGCGUUAACGAGGUGGAGGCAGGUAGUGGGCGUUAACGAGGUGGAGGCAGGUAGUGGGCGUUAACGAGGUGGAGGCAGGUAGUGGGCGUUAACGAGGUGGAGGCAGGUAGUGGGCGUUAACGAGGUGGAGACAGGAAGUGGGCGUUAACGAGGUGGAGGCAGGUAGUGGGCGUUAACGAGGUGAAGGCAGGUAGUGGGCGUUAACGAGGUGGAGGCAGGUAGUGGGCGUUAACGAGGUGAAGGCAGGAAGCGGGCGGUAUCGAGAUGGAGGCAGACGGGUGGAGGCAGACGGGUGGAGGCAGACGGGUGGAGGCGGACGGGUGGAGGCGGACGGGUGG